AUCAUUACCGAGUUAUUACUCCAAACCCUUUGUGAACCUUACCAUUGUUCUGUUGCCUCGGCGGGGGUCGGCCCCUAAAGCCUCACCCGCCGGCAGCACCAAACUCUUGAAUUGUAUAGCGGAUUGCACUUCUGAAUAAAAUACAAAACAAUCACAAGUUAAACUUCAACAACGGAUCUCUGGUCUGGCAUCGAUGAAGAAGCAGCGAAAGCGAUAAGUAAUGUGAAUUGCAGAAUUCAGUGAAUCAUCGAAUCUUUGAACGCACAUUGCGGCAGUAAUCUGCCGGCAUGCCUGUCCGAGCGUCAUUUCAACCCUCGAACCUCCGUUUCCUCAGGGAAGCUCAGGGUCGGUGUUGGGGCGCUACGGCGAGUCUUCGCGACCCUCCGUAGGCCCUGAAAUACAGUGGCGGUCCCGCCGCGGUUGCCUUCUGCGUAGUAAGUCUCUUUUGCAAGCUCGCAUUGGGUCCCGGCGGAGGCCUGCCGUCAAACCACCUAUAACUCCAGAUGGU
rnacentral:rRNA from 1 species